rnacentral:rRNA from 1 species
UACGUAGGGUGCGAGCGUUGUCCGGAAUUAUUGGGCGUAAAGAGCUCGUAGGCGGUCUGUCGCGUCGGUCGUGAAAACUUGGGGCUUAACCCUGAGCUUGCGGUCGAUACGGGCAUGACUGGAGUUCGGUAGGGGAGACUGGAAUUCCUGGUGUAGCGGUGAAAUGCGCAGAUAUCAGGAGGAACACCAAUGGCGAAAGCAGGUACCUGGACUAGUACUGACACUCAGCUGCGAAAGCUAGGGGAGCAAACAGG